GAUGAACGCUGGCGGCGUGCCUAAUACAUGCAAGUCGAGCGAACAGACGAGGAGCUUGCUCCUCUGACGUUAGCGGCGGACGGGUGAGUAACACGUGGAUAACCUACCUAUAAGACUGGGAUAACUUCGGGAAACCGGAUCUAAUACCGGAUAAUAUAUUGAACCGCAUGGUUCAAUAGUGAAAGACGGUUUUGCUGUCACUUAUAGAUGGAUCCGCGCCGCAUUAGCUAGUUGGUAAGGUAACGGCUUACCAAGGCAACGAUGCGGAGCCGACCUGAGAGGGUGAUCGGCCACACUGGAACUGAGACACGGUCCAGACUCCUACUGGAGGCAGCAGUAGGGAAUCUUCCGCAAUGGGCGAAAGCCUGACGGAGCAACGCCGCGUGAGUGAUGAAGGUCUUCGGAUCGUAAAACUCUGUUAUUAGGGAAGAACAAAUGUGUAAGUAACUAUGCACGUCUUGACGGUACCUAAUCAGAAAGCCACGGCUAACUACGUG
rnacentral:rRNA from 1 species